CCUACUUCCUAGCAGUGACCCACGCAUCUUCUCAGAUCCACUUUCUUCCCCAUGCGCCACACCCCACGGCAGUUGCCCCGUCUCCGCGUCGUCCCCACGCCAGUCCUCGCGAGAUCGAGAGCCACCAUGCCCCAGUACGAAUGAGCCGUCAUCUCCGUCCCCGGAGCUGCUAUUCCAUCUACCUGCUGUGUUGGUGCAAGUGGACCUGGACUGCUGCCGCUGUCACAUCAAGUUCGAGAAGGUGCUAAAGAGGACCAGAGAGAAGGGCGAGUUCGUGACAGACAACAGCAAGGUAAUUGUUGCAAGGACCUUGGCUCGCCAACAAGCUACGUUGCGAGGCCUGCGAAGUCAUCAAGGAGAUCGAGAAUUCGAGAUCGUCCAGCCGCCGCCUCCUGGGCCGACCAAGAGGAAAGAGAUCUUGCCGCCGCCGAAGCCGGUUGUCGAGGAGCCACCGCCAUCGGUCGUGCAGACGGCGCCUCCGGAGCCGGAGGUAAAUCCUCUUCCUCUGGCGCUGACCAAGGUAGCUGCAAGGAGUGUUGUGGGAAGGAGAGGCGCCGACGUCAUCAGGCGAGGCGAGAACUACACGUCAGCAACGAUGAAGGAUGAGAGUACUGCGGGUUGAGCUCGGUUUUGGAGAAGGAGGUGAUUGUGGAGGAGGGGAAGAAGAAGUUGUGGAAGACGUGGGUGUACACCCUGCUGCUAGGUCUUAACAUGUUCUGGAGCUCCAUUACCUCCGCUGGUCCGUCCUUGUUCUUGAAGUAUGCCUGCUGCUCCCUCUCUCAAGAAGAAUCAUCACUACAGCAUAUCUUCAGAGGCGUGACAAACCCGUCAGAUUAUCAAUGGAGUUAGAUAAUGAGCUUAGCCAGGCCCAGAGAAUAAAUACUCACCCAAAGAUCAGCAAUGACUCUAUUUGGAUAUCAUUUCCGGGCGUGUAUAAAUGGAGAAUAUUAGAAUUAUAAAUAGGAUCAGAAGAACAUCAUAUUUUCAAGCAAGAUUAUGUUGUAUGACGUGUCCUCUUUAGAUAUUAUGCGUGUAUGUCUUUUGUAAAGUAUAUUUUGUUGUAGAGAAAUAAUACAUGCAAGUUUAUAGCCUCUCAAACCAUAUAGUAACUUGCAAAUAUUUAUCUCAGAUUUUAGACAUUUUACCGAUGCCUACACAUGUUGCAUGAACUUGGUUGUUAAUUUGCAACACUCUAUUACUUGGUU